UGAUGUGACCACCUUUUUGCGCAUGAGUAUGCCCCACAUACGUAAAUGGUCGGUUUCUGCAGGAACGAAUAAGUCUUAUACCUGAGAGUUCUUCAAUAUGUUACUACGAACCACUGCGUAAAGCAGAAAGUAUGUCAAAUCGUCGCCGCUUGAGCGUCGUUUGCUAUAUAUUCCUUUUAACAAGCAGUAUAUGCCGAGCUAUUGGUGUAAGACCAAAACAGUUGUUCCGAAACCUUGCUCAGCGUUGCAGCCUGAAAGCACCAUGCGCACAUCCAUUGACUUGCCAGAAGUCGGGCAGCCAGUGCACAUGUUUAGGUCGGAGACAUCCUAUGGUACCGUGUGGGACGUGAUAUCGCUGGAAUAAAGCUGUCGCAGCGCAUUGUGCCCCAGGGCGUGUGGUCCUCCCCGAGGUCCGCGUCCCCGUGAAUGCUCCAAAACCCCACUUCAGCAGCGACUCGGGCCCAUUUUUGAGUGAGCGGACUCGCGGCCCACAUCGCAUCGCACCACCAGCGACCAGUCAUUCAAGCCGACGGGUUGCUCCCACACUUCGGCUAUCGAAGUUCCUGCCCCUGGUGCGGAGGAAGCUCUACACUCUACCACAUUACCUGGGGCUGCUCUAAACACCCGCCACACCUGACACACACAGGCACGAUACCAACACACACGUUGGAGCAGUGGGAGGCGCGACUGUCCAGCUCAGACCUGGCCGAUCAGCAAGCGCUGAUCGACCAGGUUGAACGGGCGGCCAAGACCAGUGGGGCCCUCGACUAGGGUUCCCCCCAAAAGAAUUUUUUUUAUUGUAAAUAAAGUUUAUCUC